rnacentral:lncRNA from 1 species
CUUCACCAUUUUCCUGAAGAUUGAGACACUGCUCCAAGGUAUCAUUUUCAAAUACCUUCUGUUUCACUGACCAAACAUGUUUGUUAAUUUUUCUAUUAUAGGAAAAAAAAAUCAUGAACCAAAUUGGUCUAAGAAUCCAGGAAAGAGGAGUGAGGGAAGUUGAAAUGCGAUGAUUCAUCGGUCAUCACCACAAUGGCCACACGCAUGUGGAAGAGAAGCUCAUGAUUCUAAUCUGCACAGUUGCUGGCGGCUAGAUAUGCCUAAAGAGGAUGUGAAACAGCAGCUUCACUUCCAAUGGAGAUCCGGACAGUAAUAAAACAGUUUCGCAAUCUCUUCACUAAAUACAUCUUUGUUUGCAUGGUCUAUGUAUAUUGUCAUGGGGCAGGUGCAGGAAAAUAUAAAAUAUACAUAUUUAAAAUCCUACUGAGCUGCUGUGAAGUCAGUGACAAAGAAAAACACACACACGCUGGGGCUUCAUGCAUGUAGUUAAAUAAAUAACUUUGAGAUCAUCAAAAAGAGUCAGCACACCCAUAUUUCUUACUUGGCGCUCAUUACUGUUCAAAGACACCAUUUUUUUUUAAUGCUGAGCCAUCUUAAAACUUUGUCAGGCAACAUUAAAUUCUUCAAGUCUUAAGCCCUAAAGAAAGUUACCAGUAAUGGGCAGUAACAUUAAGUUAGCUUUGCAUUUAAGAAAAAAUAUUUAUCCAUCUGCCUUCUCCCACAGAGUACUUUGGAUCACUCUCAGUGGCCAUCGUUCUCUGUCCUGUCUUCAUGCAGCUGGGCUGAGCAGCAGCAUGCCACAGAAAGGGGCCAGCGGAACUCAACUGUCCAAAGAAAUGUCCAAACUGCUUCUGUUACGUAAAGCCAAUGUCACUUUCCUUUUUUAAAGGAAGCCCUGGGGUGUAAUCCUGCCUGAGAUGAGUCCACUGACACGACAAAAAUCUAAAAUGUGUAACUAUUUGGAGGAAAGUCAGUGUGUAUCUUCCACUUGAAAGGUAUAAUUCCUUAAAAGGGACAUAAAAAUAUUUUUUCUAUUGUAUACUCUAACAGUCAAUAACUCACAAGGAAACCGAAUAGAGAGCGAAAGAUGGAGCACUCUGGACUAAUGUGAAAAACAAACUCAAGGCCGGGCACGGUGGCUCACACUUGUAAUCCCAGCACUUUGGGAGGCCAACAGG